rnacentral:rRNA from 1 species
AUGAAUGCUGGCGGCGUGGAUAAGGCAUGCAAGUCGCACGGUUUUUCUUUUCAAGGAGGUUGAGAUUACAUCAAGACCGACGAGAUUUGAAAGAUAGUGGCGAACGAGUUAGUAACGCCUUGGUAUGUACCCUUUGGUCUGGCAUAGCUCAUCGAAAGAUGGGGUAAUUCUAGAUAGUCUCGCAAGAGUAAAGCAGCAAUGCGCCAUUGGAGCAGCCUAGGUCCGAUCAGUUAGUUGGCGAGGUAAUGGCUCACCAAGACUAUGACCGGUAGGGGCACUGAGAGGUGGACCCCCAACGACGGCACUGAGACACGGGCCGUACACCUACGGGUGGCAGCAGUGAGGAAUAUUGCACAAUGGAGGAAACUCUGAUGCAGCAACGCCGCGUGGAGGAUGACGCAUUUCGGUGUGUAAACUCCUUUUAUUAGGGAAGAUAAUGACGGUACCUAAUGAAUAAGCACCGGCUAACUCCGU